rnacentral:tRNA from 1 species
GUUCAGGCUGGCCGAGUGGUUAUGGCAUCGGACUUAUGAUCCGAUUGACUGUCGUGUCUGUAAGUUCGAUUCCUGCUCCUGAACA